rnacentral:rRNA from 1 species
UACGAAGGGGGCUAGCGUUGCUCGGAAUUACUGGGCGUAAAGGGCGCGUAGGCGGCGUGCGUAGUCGGGCGUGAAAUUCCUGGGCUUAACCUGGGGGCUGCGUCCGAGACGCGCAUGCUAGAGGUCAGAAGAGGGUCGUGGAAUUCCCAGUGUAGAGGUGAAAUUCGUAGAUAUUGGGAAGAACACCGGUGGCGAAGGCGGCGACCUGGUCUGAUACUGACGCUGAGGCGCGACAGCGUGGGGAGCAAACAGG